AGUGAACGCUGGCGGUAGGCCUAACACAUGCAAGUCGAACGGCAGCACCGUAAGAGCUUGCUCUUACGGGUGGCGAGUGGCGGACGGGUGAGGAAUACAUCGGAAUCUACUUUUUCGUGGGGGAUAACGUAGGGAAACUUACGCUAAUACCGCAUACGACCUACGGGUGAAAGCAGGGGAUCUUCGGACCUUGCGCGAUUGAAUGAGCCGAUGUCGGAUUAGCUAGUUGGCGGGGUAAAGGCCCACCAAGGCGACGAUCCGUAGCUGGUCUGAGAGGAUGAUCAGCCACACUGGAACUGAGACACGGUCCAGACUCCUACGGGAGGCAGCAGUGGGGAAUAUUGGACAAUGGGCGCAAGCCUGAUCCAGCCAUACCGCGUGGGUGAAGAAGGCCUUCGGGUUGUAAAGCCCUUUUGUGGGGAAAGAAAAGCAGCAGGUUAAUACCCCGCUGUUCUGACGGUACCCAAAGAAUAAGCACCGGCUAACUUCGUG
rnacentral:rRNA from 1 species